AACCCACUCCUUAUUGAGCGAAAGUGAGCCCUAACCCUACGCCUCCCACCCUCAAUCCAAAGCUCUCAGUCUCAGCCUCUCACCGUCGCGCUCUCCUCUCUGUAGUGGUGUACGACCCUCGCACCACAGUCUGAACGACCCUCGCACACAGCGCACGACCCUCGUCCCUCGCAGGCUCGCACCCAACGCCAGCAGUAGCAGAGCACGAGCCUCCUUCCUUGCACCCAGUAGUAGCAGAGCCCGACCCUCGCAACCUCGCACCCAGCAGUAGCAGAGCCACAACCCUCGCCAGUCGCCACCCACAACACAGCAAACACCAGUCACCGAUUCAAGUCUCCCACCCAGCCACCGAUUCAAGUCAGAUAUGGAGCCCGAGCCACCGAGUCAGGUAGGUUUGCUUAAAGAAGUUUCAUUAUUUUGUUGGAGAGGACACCAAGACGUGGCUAUCUGUUGCUGGAAAUUUGUUUUUAUUUUUUGUUGUGUUGACUAUUGAACCUUUAAACUUCUUUAAUUAUCGUAUUUUAAUUUCUUUUGUUGUCGAAUUUUAUUGAA